CGUGUAGGCGGUCAGGUAAGUGGAAUGUGAAAUGCCCCGGCUCACCCGGGGACCGGCAUCCCAAACUGCCUGGCUUGAGUAUGGGAGAGGAUGGAGGAAUUCCUGGUGUAGCGGUGAAAUGCGUAGAUAUCAGGAGGAGCACCGGUGGCGAAGGCGUCCAUCUGGCCCAAUACUGACGCUGAGGCGCGAAAGCUAGGGGAGCAAACGG
rnacentral:rRNA from 1 species